rnacentral:piRNA from 1 species
UCUGAUGUGUAGCUUUUUAUC